rnacentral:rRNA from 1 species
GAAUAUUGGACAAUGGGCGAGAGCCUGAUCCAGCCAUGCCGCGUGCAGGAAGACUGCCCUAUGGGUUGUAAACUGCUUUUAAAUGGGAAGAAACCCACCUACGUGUAGGUGUCUGACGGUACCGUAAGAAUAAGGAUCGGCUAACUUCGUGCCAGCAGCCGCGGUAAUACGGAGGAUCCAAGCGUUAUCCGGAAUCAUUGGGUUUAAAGGGUCCGUAGGUGGAUAAUUAAGUCAGGGGUGAAAGUCUGCAGCUCAACUGUAGAAUUGCCUUUGAUACUGGUUAUCUUGAAUUAUUAUGAAGUAGUUAGAAUAUGUAGUGUAGCGGUGAAAUGCAUAGAUAUUACAUAGAAUACCAAUUGCGAAGGCAGAUUACUAAUAAUGAAUUGACACUGAUGGACGAAAGCGUGGGGAGCGAACAGG